ACCUGAAUAAAAGAAUCCUGUGGAAUCCAUACAGCGCUUCUCACUCUCUCUCUGCGUCUGCUGUGGUGGCACCAGGCAUGCUGAAAGAGCUGAGAUCACAAAAGAGCUAGCUGCAAAUCACUAUAGCUUGCCCAGGUUGCCUGAGCCCCCCGCCGCUGAGCUAUCCUGGCCGGCCGGCAUUCCCUGCUGGGCUUCUGCCCUGAGGCUGCAUGUUGCUUGCUGGAUGACAGCCAGAAACAUGGGAGACCACAAGAGGAGAAAGACCAUUGCAUUGUGAGGAAUCUAACAUUAAUAGCAGCAAACUGUUUUAUUUCACUCAAUAACUGAAAGGGUUUCCAAAAUGCCAGGACCAUUGUGCAGCAGAGGGAAAGCCAAAGGAGAUGAGGAGAAAGGAAGGCAAAGGAACAGAUUUGUGAUUAAUUUGUUAACCUCAGAUGAACUAAAGAGUCUCAAGAUGCCUAAUUGAUGGAUUUCCACUGUCAGCAUUACUAUGCCCUCUCUAGUUUUACAGGUCAGGAAGUGAACAAAAGGAGGUGAAACAAGCCAAUGUCACGAUCAAGACUGGAAGUCAUGGGCCUUGGACUGUGUGUUAAUGAUCAAACAUUGCUGCAUGUGAUUUUCAUCUCCCAGGUUUUUUUCAAAUCUUUGUAAUUGUCUGAAUAAAGAGAAG